rnacentral:lncRNA from 1 species
GGCCCACAUUAAAUGCAAAAUUAAUUCUAUCAAGUUUGAAGUACUUAACUAAUUGUGCUUUGACAAUGUUGUUUUCAUAGCAUUGAAGUUAGCACAAGUUCAAUGUUUUGCUAAUACAACAAUGCAUUGCAUAAACUAAUGCUACCCCAAAGAAUGUGUGGAAAAAUAACCUUCAAGUCACUUGACACGGCCUGUGUAGGGAGAACCACGUGGCUUAGGAAUGGCAUGUAAAACAGAAAAAUAUACCAGAAAUUCUA